AGUGAACGCUGGCGGCAGGCCUAAUACAUGCAAGUCGAACGGCAGCACAGUGGAGCUUGCUCCAUGGGUGGCGAGUGGCGGACGGGUGAGGAAUACAUGGGAAUCUGCCCAGUCGUGGGGGAUAACGUAGGGAAACUUACGCUAAUACCGCAUGCGCCCUUCGGGGGAAAGCCGGGGACCUUCGGGCCUGGCGCGAUUGGAUGAGCCCAUGUUCGAUUAGCUAGUUGGCGGGGUAAAGGCCCACCAAGGCGACGAUCGAUAGCUGGUCUGAGAGGAUGAUCAGCCCCACUGGGACUGAGACACGGCCCAGACUCCUACGGGAGGUAGCAGUAGGGAAUAUUGGACAAUGGGCGCAAGCCUGAUCCAGCCAUGCCGCGUGAGUGAAGAAGGCCCUCGGGUUGUAAAGCUCUUUUGUCCGGGAAGAAAAGCAUCGGGCUAAUACCUCGGUGUUCUGACGGUACCGGAAGAAUAAGCACCGGCUAACUUCGUG
rnacentral:rRNA from 1 species